rnacentral:rRNA from 1 species
AACGAACGCUGGCGGCAUGCCUAACACAUGCAAGUCGAACGAGACCUUCGGGUCUAGUGGCGCACGGGUGCGUAACGCGUGGGAACCUGCCCUUAGGUUCGGAAUAACUCCCCGAAAGGGGUGCUAAUACCGGAUAAUGUCUUCGGACCAAAGAUUUAUCGCCUUUGGAUGGGCCCGCGUUGGAUUAGCUAGUUGGUAGGGUAAAAGCCUACCAAGGCGACGAUCCAUAGCUGGUCUGAGAGGAUGAUCAGCCACACUGGGACUGAGAAACGGCCCGGACUCCUACGGGAGGCAGCAGUGGGGAAUAUUGGACAAUGGGCGAAAGCCUGAUCCAGCAAUGCCGCGUGAGUGAUGAAGGCCUUAGGGUUGUAAAGCUCUUUUACCCGGGAUGAUAAUGACAGUACCGGGAGAAUAAGCCCCGGCUAACUCCGUG